AUUGAACGCUGGCGGCAUGCCUUACACAUGCAAGUCGAACGGCAGCACGGGAGCAAUCCUGGUGGCGAGUGGCGAACGGGUGAGUAAUAUAUCGGAACGUGCCCAGUCGUGGGGAUAACGUAGCGAAAGCUACGCUAAUACCGCAUACGAUCUAUGGAUGAAAGCGGGGGAUCGCAAGACCUCGCGCAAUUGGAGCGGUCGAUAUCAGAUUAGGUAGUUGGUGAGGUAAAGGCUCACCAAGCCGACGAUCUGUAGCUGGUCUGAGAGGACGACCAGCCACACUGGGACUGAGACACGGCCCAGACUCCUACGGGAGGCAGCAGUGGGGAAUUUUUGGACAAUGGGCGCAAGCCUGAUCCAGCAAUGCCGCGUGCAGGAUGAAGGCCUCGG
rnacentral:rRNA from 1 species